CAAGUUUUCCUUCAAACUAGUUUAUACAAAGAUACAAGGUAGUUUAAAGUUUAAUAUUUGGUUGUUAGAACAAGCUGUUAUCUAAAAGCUGAUUGUUAUAUAAUUAUUUUGUUCAACUUUACUUCCAUGCUUUAUUUUAGCUGAUUUUCAAACCACUUCUUAGUAAUAAUCCUAUGGUCUCUGUCUGUAUUGCUCGCAGACACACAGACAUGGGUGAGUGUCACCAUUAGAUUGACACAAAUCUCCACUUAAUUUCUCACAACCCUGUUAGAAGCUCAGUUGGGAAAACAAUGGUUCCUCUUUCCUUUGCCUUUUUUCAUUUGGUUUCUUUUGUUUCUUUUUCCCUCUGGGCAGCAUCCAUUUCUCAGAUUAGCUGAGCCUCUCUCCAGCCUCUUCUGACAACCCCAUGGCUGUCAUCCCGGCAGCAAAGUAAUGCAGGAAGCAGAGGGGAUGACGAGGACCACCUGAGCACUUGGAGAACAGAGCCUCUGAGACCAGGCAGAAAUCCUGAGGAGCCAGGGGCCAGGAAACAGGCAGCCAUCAGAGCAGGAAAGGAAGGUGGCAUCUCCUUUUCUCCCAUCUGCUGAUCCUCCUUCUAAAUUUCUGGCCUGUGAGAUGGAAUGUCAGCAUGUGGAGGUGCAGGAGCAGCUGCUGCUGCAAGGAGAAAACUUCCUGGCAGAUGUAGAGAGGGAGCAGGAGAGAUGGAGCAGGAAGUUGGCACCUUGCAAGCUGAACAAGAAGACGUAUGAAGCAGGGCCAGUCAAGAGUCAAAAGGUCACAUGGCCCCUGCCACAAAAAUCUCCACUCCGAGUGCUUUUCAAAUGAAAACGUAGGACACUCGCAGCAAAGCAAUUGAGGAAGCUGAGGACAUGACCAGGAACACUUCAGGAUUACUUUCUCCAAUGCCAGCUAGCAGCAGACUCGCAAUAAAAAUCCUAGAAACCCGCAA